GCCGAGAUCGGCCUAGUCCAGACUAUGGUCGUGGUCGAGAUCGGCCAAGUCCGGACUCUGGUCGUGGUCGAGAUCGGCCAAGUCCUGACUAUGGUCGUGGUCGAGAUAGGCCUAUUCCUGACUUUGGUCGUGGUAGAGAUCGGCCAAGUGCUGACUUUGGUCGUGGUAGAGAUCGGCUAAGUCCUGAUUAUGGUCGUGGCCCUAGUCGAAGUCCUAAGCACAGGGAAAGGAAUUCUGAGUAUGGCCGUGGCCAUAGUCCAGUUGUAGGAAAGGAGAGAAAUC
rnacentral:lncRNA from 1 species